rnacentral:rRNA from 1 species
UACGUAGGGGGCAAGCGUUGUCCGGAAUCAUUGGGCGUAAAGAGCGUGUAGGCGGCUCGAUAAGUCUGCUGUGAAAGUCCAGGGCUCAACCCUGGAAGGCCGGUGGAAACUGUCGGGCUAGAGUCCGGAAGAGGCGAGUGGAAUUCCCGGUGUAGCGGUGAAAUGCGCAGAUAUCGGGAGGAACACCAAUGGCGAAGGCAGCUCGCUGGGACGGUACUGACGCUGAGGUGCGAAAGCGUGGGGAGCGAACAGG